rnacentral:rRNA from 1 species
GACGAACGCUGGCGGCGUGCUUAACACAUGCAUGUCGAACGGAAAGGCCCUGCUUUUGUGGGGUGCUCGAGUGGCGAACGGGUGAGUAACACGUGAGUAACCUGCCCUUGACUUUGGGAUAACUUCAGGAAACUGGGGCUAAUACCGGAUAGGAGCUCCUGCUGCAUGGUGGGGGUUGGAAAGUUUCGGCGGUUGGGGAUGGACUCGCGGCUUAUCAGCUUGUUGGUGGGGUAGUGGCUCACCAAGGCUUUGACGGGUAGCCGGCCUGAGAGGGUGACCGGCCACAUUGGGACUGAGAUACGGCCCAGACUCCUACGGGAGGCAGCAGUGGGGAAUAUUGCACAAUGGGCGGAAGCCUGAUGCAGCAACGCCGCGUGCGGGAUGACGGCCUUCGGGUUGUAAACCGCUUUCGCCUGUGACGAAGCGUGAGUGACGGUAAUGGGUAAAGAAGCACCGGCUAACUACGUG